ACACUCCUGCGGGAGGCAGCAGUGGGGAAUAUUGGACAAUGGGGGCAACCCUGAUCCAGCCAUGCCGCGUGAGUGAUGAAGGCCCUAGGGUUGUAAAGCUCUUUUGUGCGGGAAGAUAAUGACGGUACCGCAAGAAUAAGCCCCGGCUAACUUCGUGCCAGCAGCCGCGGUAAUACGAAGGGGGCUAGCGUUGCUCGGAAUCACUGGGCGUAAAGGGUGCGUAGGCGGGUCUUUAAGUCAGGGGUGAAAUCCUGGAGCUCAACUCCAGAACUGCCUUUGAUACUGAGGAUCUUGAGUCCGGAAGAGGUGAGUGGAACUGCGAGUGUAGAGGUGAAAUUCGUAGAUAUUCGCAAGAACACCAGUGGCGAAGGCGGCUCACUGGUCCGGUACUGACGCUGAGGCACGAAAGCGUGGGGAGCAAACAGGAUUAGAAACCCCGGUAGUCCC
rnacentral:rRNA from 1 species